rnacentral:rRNA from 1 species
UGGGGAAUUUUGGACAAUGGGCGCAAGCCUGAUCCAGCCAUGCCGCGUGAGUGAAGAAGGCCUUCGGGUUGUAAAGCUCUUUCGGCCGGGAAGAAAUCGCAUGGGUUAAUACCCUGUGCGGAUGACGGUACCGGCAUAAGAAGCACCGGCUAACUACGUGCCAGCAGCCGCGGUAAUACGUAGGGUGCGAGCGUUAAUCGGAAUUACUGGGCGUAAAGCGUGCGCAGGCGGUUUGUUAAGAUAGGCGUGAAAUCCCCGGGCUCAACCUGGGAACUGCGCUUAUGACUGGCAAGCUAGAGUACGGCAGAGGGGGGUGGAAUUCCACGUGUAGCAGUGAAAUGCGUAGAGAUGUGGAGGAACACCAAUGGCGAAGGCAGCCCCCUGGGUCGAUACUGACGCUCAUGCACGAAAGCGUGGGUAGCAAACAGG